UACGUAGGUGGCAAGCGUUGUCCGGAAUUAUUGGGCGUAAAGCGCGCGCAGGUGGUUUCUUAAGUCUGAUGUGAAAGCCCACGGCUCAACCGUGGAGGGUCAUUGGAAACUGGGGAACUUGAGUGCAGAAGAGGAAAGUGGAAUUCCAAGUGUAGCGGUGAAAUGCGUAGAGAUUGGGAAGAACACCAGUGGCGAAGGCGGCUAUCUGGACGGUUUCUGACACUAAGACUCGAAAGCGUGGGGAGCAAACAGG
rnacentral:rRNA from 1 species